rnacentral:tRNA from 1 species
UAAAUUUUAGUUUAAAUAAAAUAAUUCAUUUACAUUGGAGAGAUUUUAAAAUUAAGUAAAAAAUUUAA